rnacentral:lncRNA from 1 species
CUCAGGACAUAUUUGUGAAUCAAGAUAUGGGGACAGCUUGACAGCUUGGCCAGGCAGGGUGAGCCAGAUGAAGUGCUAAGAGCAGCCUGGUUUCUGACCAGAGCAACUGGCUUGAUGUAAUUUCACUGAUUGCAACUAAGAGAGGUAAAGUUCAGAUGCUGUGUGUGACCAAAGCUCUCCAGAGCCUUUGCCAUAGGCCCUGGGGUCUUCCUGCCUCUCAGGUCUCCGCCCAUAGCAUAUCAGGAGUAGGGCUUGGGUUUCCCUUCCAUCUGCCAGGGUUGACCGCUGACCUGAAUGCUCUUCAUUGUUUGCUCCAAACUCCAGCUGUUCACCAGAAGGGAUCAGCUGGAGUGUCCGGACUGGAGUCUUGGUCACAGGCUCAAGCAUCGUUUCCAGGCAGAGGUACUCACUUGGAAAGUGAUAAGAAACCAGAG